UUGAUAACAUUAAUAACAGUAUUUUAUCGAAAUUACUAAUAUUCACUUAUCAUAUCGACAAAUAUACAUAAAAACUAGGAUGACCAAUAGCAGAGUAGGCGGUAAGUAUUUUCUUUACCGAUUGCGCAAGAAAUGAAUGCUUGUUGUUCUUAUUAGAUCGAUGAAUGCGCCAAGAUUAAAAAUGGAGGAUGAGCAUAUUUCUUGUUUAGAGCCCUAAGGCUACUGCGACUUCAUCCCAAAUUAGAAUGAAAGCCUGACGCAUUUCAAUACAUAUUUUGGUGGCGGCUUUCAAAUUUCCACCUUCCAGGAUGAUAGUGGCUCAAAUAGUGGUAAGACGGUCGGAAGUGAUUACACAGUUUGGUCUCGAUACGGGACGAAUAGAAUAUAGAUAUCGAUGGCAGUAGAUUUGAAUAAGGAGUCGUGGAAAUUACGACACUGUAAAAAUGGCUUUUCUAUAGGGUUUAACGCCGCUUUCUAUCCGAUGAUUACUAAGUAAGCAGCGUUUCCAUGCCUAUUACGGAUGGUCCCUGGUGGGGUCAACCAACCGGGUCCGGAUCUCUCCGCCGAAUCUGAAAGUACGGUCCCUUACUUCCGGUUUUCGCAGGAGGAAGAGCGCUAUACGUUCCGGGAUGGAUGCGUAGCGCGCUUCUACCGCGGCCAUUCGGCCGACUCUAUAAAAAUGUUUAGUUUUACAUUUCUAUCAUUAAAUUUUUAUAAAAUAUUUAUGCUUAAAUGUUAAAAAAAAUAAAGACUAUAAUGUAGCAUAUUAACAGAUAAGUUGGUUAUAAAAUGUAGGACGUAUAAGCCCUAUCCAAGGCAUUUAUAUCCAGUUGCUCGAAAGUUUAUUUGGAAAUUAAAGAAUAUAUAUAAGUACCAGUAUGAAGUAAUUCAUAUUUUCCAGUACUUCUUUCACGUAAAAUCGGAAAAAAUUUUUAACUAUAAAAGUUAUCAAAUUUGUCACGGGCGUCGAGCUGAGCGUGACGAAAAAUGAAGGAGUAGUGUUGGAAAUAGCGUUUAUGGAAGCUGUCAAAUAGUUUAAAUGUCGACCUCUUACCGAAGAUUGUUUAGAUACGGAUAAUAGGCGUUUUUCAUCGAGUUCUGGCGGUAUAUGUUUUUAAUUGCAUAAUUGGAAAAAGCUUAGAGACCCGACCGUAUGGAUAAUAAGGUUUUCUAAAAUAUUUCGAGUUUUUUAAAAGGUUUUGUUCUUUAUACGUAUAAAUGCUAAUUUAAAUAAAUUAAAAAUAUAUAAAACUACGCUGAUUUCGCAUCUUUUUAUCUUAAUUUAUCGAGAUGAAAGUU
rnacentral:lncRNA from 1 species